rnacentral:rRNA from 1 species
AUUGAACGCUGGCGGCAUGCUUUACACAUGCAAGUCGAACGGCAGCGCGGGCUUCGGCCUGGCGGCGAGUGGCGAACGGGUGAGUAAUACAUCGGAACGUGCCCAGUAGUGGGGGAUAGCUCGGCGAAAGCCGGAUUAAUACCGCAUACGACCUGAGGGUGAAAGCGGGGGAUCUUCGGACCUCGCGCUAUUGGAGCGGCCGAUGGCAGAUUAGCUAGUUGGUGGGGUAAAGGCCUACCAAGGCGACGAUCUGUAGCUGGUCUGAGAGGACGACCAGCCACACUGGGACUGAGACACGGCCCAGACUCCUACGGGAGGCAGCAGUGGGGAAUUUUGGACAAUGGGCGAAAGCCUGAUCCAGCAAUGCCGCGUGUGUGAUGAAGGCCUUCGGGUUGUAAAGCACUUUUGGCGGGAACGAAAGGGACUGUGCCAAUACCACGGUUCGAUGACG